rnacentral:rRNA from 1 species
CCUACGGGUGGCUGCAGUGGGGAAUAUUGGAGAAUGGGCGAAAGCCUGAUCCAGCCAUGCCGCGUGUGUGAAGAAGGCCUUCGGGUUGUAAAGCACUUUCAGUGGGGAAGAAAGCCUUGGGGCUAAUACCCUCGAGGAAGGACAUCACCCACAGAAGAAGCACCGGCUAACUCCGUGCCAGCAGCCGCGGUAAUACGGAGGGUGCGAGCGUUAAUCGGAAUUACUGGGCGUAAAGCGCGCGUAGGCGGUCUGAUAAGCCGGUUGUGAAAGCCCCGGGCUCAACCUGGGAACGGCAUCCGGAACUGUCAGGCUAGAGUGCAGGAGAGGAAGGUAGAAUUCCCGGUGUAGCGGUGAAAUGCGUAGAGAUCGGGAGGAAUACCAGUGGCGAAGGCGGCCUUCUGGACUGACACUGACGCUGAGGUGCGAAAGCGUGGGUAGCAAACAGGAUUAGAUACCCUUGUAGUC